AUGCACAUGAAUUGAGAGUUUAAUGUUAAACAAAGAUGUCAUAAAACAGAAAAACAUAAAAGAGUUCAGCCUUUUUGCAUUUUCAUUCAACACCUGGAGAACACUGUUACACUGUUAAGUCUUUAUCAUACUUAAAAUCAGAAAAACAGAGGUGAAUAAAACCUCAAGACAUGGGCUUUAGUAUGUUCUGUAGUGUCCAGACUAGAUGUUCCAACUUGCUUCAGAGAAGUUGACCCAUGCUUUCAAAACCUAUUGAAAUAAAUCAUAUCAUUGUUAAAACCAACAAAUCAACACAGUUCUUAUUCAUUUGCAGGCAAAUAAAUAAAAACAGUUGUGUUUUUAUUUAUUUUUAAUAGAAACACGUAAUUUGUAGAUAGUCCCUCAGAUAGGCGAUGACGUCACGACACUCCAUAGAGGUAAGCGUGUUCAUCAGCGUCUUUAAAACGUCGAGUUCGACAUAAAAAUGUGUUCUGAUAUGUACUCAUCAUGGUCGGUAAUGAUACUUGACCGAAAGUGUCUUUUUUAAGUGCAUAUUAACAAAGUUAUUGAACGCGGAAGUCCGAAUGUCUGAAUAUAAAACCAACUUUACCCAAGUUAUUAAUCCGCAGAUGGAGUAAAGUUAUUGCUGGGCGUCACUGUCAAUAAAUCCCCUUUGGUGAGCAGAAGUGAAAGUGUCCUGAGCCUUCCCCACCCAGCACCAGACGUCAUUUGGACGUCGUUUUCUGGUCUAAAUCAAGUCGGCCCGUCAUGGCCAUCUUUUAGACCAAAAAGCGACGUUGAAAAUUGGUCUUCAUUUGGUCCGUCGGAUUUGGUCCAAAUUAAUGCCCAAAAAGCGACAUUUAACGUCUUUUUUUUAAAAUCCAAAUUUAGCCCAAAAAUAGAUGUAAAUGGGCUUUAGUCCAAAUUUAGCAGAAAACAACUUUUAUUUCGCACCACAAAGCCAUUAACAUAAACUAGCGAAGAAAUUAGACAUCAUGUCUGAAGCACUGUAAAAUAUAUUUGAAUAUAUUUUGAAAACACUUGAUGGUCACGCGCUGUACUGGAGUCACCAUGGAAACGGGGCUCAGCUCAACCGUCAAAGCAGCUGAACGGACGCUGUCUCUCGUGGUUGUUUUCACUAAUUUCAGAAAUGGUCAGUGUCUUCAGAAAAAGUCCCUUAGCAUCUCAACUGUAAUGCUAACUACAAGAGAUUCUUCCAUGCUGAUGGCCAUGCGUGUAUCCAGCUGAAGAACAUUUUUAGACAUUAUGAAACAUAUAACUAAGACUGAAAAUCAUUGAUAAACCACAAGAGUUUAGCUCCAACCCCAGUUAAGCAGACCUGAGCAGCUGAUCAAGGAUCAGCAGAAACUCUGCAGAACGGUGGUCCUCCAGCCCAGGACUGGACACCAGUGUUAUGCUAGAGAAAGAACAGCGAGGCUAAAGCAUUCAAAGUGGAAACAUCUGCCGUGGCUCAUUAAUCCAGAAUUGGGACGGAGGAAGGAGCAGAAGAUCAGAGAUCAGGCAGAGAUCUACUGGUGUCCCUGUGGGAACCGCAUUUACCUAAUGUGUUCGUUAAACCAAAGAUUUUCCUCACUUGCUUUCAUGUUGUUCCAAGCCAGACUUUUGUUCAUCUUUGAAACAUAAAUGCAGAACUUUUUAAUGAAAUCUGAGAAUGUUUUUUUUUAUAUAAAAUAACGCAUUCACACAAGCACCAUGAUGCAUCAGUGUUGCAUUGGCGUGAGAGCUGGCGCUUUUGGUGCUUUUGUGAAAAUCCAUUGGGGAUUCAUAAUUUCAGAAUAGAUUAUUUUUGCUGUUGUUGUUGUUUUGUGUACACAAGGCAUCUGUUAAAAACAUAUCUUAAUUUGUGUUCUGCAACAUGGUUUGGGGCAACAUGGGGGUAAGGAAAUAAUGACAGAAUUUACAUUUUUGGUAGUUCUAAUGUUAUAAUUGGUCAUAGUUUAUUGUCUUGAAAAAUUAUAUUAAUACAGAAAGAUGGAUUAAUUAGAUAAGUUUAUAGUAAAGACUUUUAAAUUGAUUAAAAAAAAAUCUAAAUAAAUACUACUCUUUUGCAAGGUCUAUUAAAAAAUACUGACAAAUGUAAUGGUUUCCACAAAAUAUUUGGCAGCACAACGGUUUUAAACAUUGAUAAUAAUCAGAAAUGUUUCUUGAGCAGCAAAUCAGUAUAUUAUAAUGAUUUCUGAAGAUCA